rnacentral:rRNA from 1 species
CAAAAGCGUAUAUUAAAGUUGUUGCAGUUAAAAAGCUCGUAGUUGAACCUUGGGCUUGGCUGGCCGGUCCAUCUUUUUUGAUGCGUACUGGACCCAGCCGAGCCUUUCCUUCUGGCUAGCCUUUUGGCGAACCAGGACUUUUACUUUGAAAAAAUUAGAGUGUUCAAAGCAGGCCUUUGCUCGAAUAUAUUAGCAUGGAAUAAUAGAAUAGGACGUUAUGGUUCUAUUUUGUUGGUUUCUAGGACCAUCGUAAUGGUUAAUAGGGACGGUCGGGGGUAUCAGUAUUCAGUUGUCAGAGGUGAAAUUCUUGGAUUUACUGAAGACUAACUACUGCGAAAGCAUUUACCAAGGACGUUUUCAUUAA